UUUGAACAUCACAUGCAUCAAUUUUUUUAUAUCUAUAAUUUGAAUUCCAAAUUAAUCAUCACUUUCAAGAAAAUGAAUUGUAUACAUGUAUAACCAUAACUAAAACCAUGAAGGUGCAAGUAGAAUGCCACACAAGCGUUACAAACUAUUAAAGACAAAAAUAUAUAAAUAAAUAAAUAAUAAACUAACAUCAUAUUCAGAUAGAUCUGGUAUUCUUUUUUAUUGUUUGGCACCUCCAAAAUUUUAAAAGGGCAAGGGGGUCGUUAAGGGUUGAACUUCACGCAUCUUGAAUUCUGAAGGCAGGAACUCAACUAAAAGGCUACUAGCCAUCUAACUGGAAAACAUCCUCUUACAUGUUUACCCGACAAAAAGUAGGAUUUAUCUCCUUCAGAAAGAAAUUUACAUUAAUUAUGUCCCAAAUAAGUAGGCAUGUUCAAAAUCAUUGAAUAUACAGAUAUCCUUUGCACAUGAAAUCUUCUCAAUUGAACUCCCCUAAUAAUUCUAUUUGGUGUAUCUUUUUUUAACUAGCUCAACUACAGGCCACAUCUAACUGAAAGAGAAUAGCUCUGCUUUAAAAGCAUCCAACCUGCAAGGGUAGUUGAUCCAAUAGACAGCUCAGGUAAUAUGCUUGGAUAACCCAGGGAUAAAAGGACUUUCAACAACUAAUGUCCUAAAGAGUCAUAAAUGCCAGGAUGAAGGUUAUGCAGUUAACAUGGACACUUCUUUUUUGGUACUUUAGAAAUUUUUUUAAAGGGAUGGGGGGUUUGUCAAGGUUUGAACCCUUUAUCUCCUGCAAUACAAAGCAAGCAGUCAACCACUACCUACUAGCCAAAUGGCAGCAAUGUAUACUUUAGUAGAUGUUAACCUCAACUCCAGUAUAUGAGAGAGAGAGAGAG
rnacentral:misc_RNA from 1 species